rnacentral:rRNA from 1 species
GACGAACGUUGGCGGCGUGCUUAAUACAUGCAAGUCAACUGAAGCAGUGGUAGCAAUAUCGCUGUGGAGGUGGCGCACGGGUGAGUAACACGUAGGUAAUCUGCCUUCAGGUCUGGCAUAACUCCGGGAAACCGGGGCUAAUAGCAGAUGAUGCAGCGGCUCGACAUCGAGACAGUUGUUAAAGCUAUGGCGCCUGAAGAUGAGCCUGCGUCUGAUUAGCUAGUUGGCGGGGUAACGGCCCACCAAGGCAACGAUCAGUAGCUGGUCUGAGAGGAUGAUCAGCCACACUGGAACUGAGACACGGUCCAGACUCCUACGGGAGGCAGCAGUAAGGAAUAUUGCUCAAUGGGAGAAAUCCUGAAGCAGCAACGCCGCGUGAGGGACGAAGGGCUCUUGCUUGUAAACCUCUGUAGUGAGAGAAAAAAAUCCCAAUCUUUGGGACAUGAUGGUAUCUCAAAAGUAAGCCCCGGCUAACUACGUG